UGGGCAGAGACUGCCCAGUCCGGGACAGGGCCCUGGGAGGUGGCAAGGUGACCACCCUCUCCCAACGUGCUCCCCAUUCCUCCUGUGUGCCCCAUGCAGCCCCAUCAAGUCAGAGUUCAUCAGGGCCAAGUACCAGAUGCUGGCGUUUGUGCACAAGCUUCCCUGCCGGGAUGAUGAUGGGGUCACUGCCAAAGACCUCAGCAAGCAACUGCACUCGAGCGUGCGGACAGGCAACCUGGAGACAUGUCUGCGCCUGCUAUCCCUGGGUGCCCAGGCCAACUUCUUCCACCCAGAGAAGGGCACCACACCUCUGCACGUGGCUGCCAAGGCAGGGCAGACACUGCAGGCCGAGCUGCUUGUAGUGUAUGGGGCUGACCCUGGCUCCCCUGAUGUUAAUGGCCGCACACCCAUUGACUAUGCCAGGCAGGCGGGGCACCAUGAGCUGGCGGAAAGGCUGGUUGAGUGCCAAUAUGAGCUCACUGACCGGCUGGCCUUCUACCUCUGUGGACGCAAGCCAGAUCACAAGAAUGGGCAUUACAUCAUCCCACAGAUGGCUGACAGGUGAGUGCCCACCUGAUGCCCCUUUCCAGAGGCUGUUGGAUGCCAUGUAGGCAGCUGACCCCCAGAGCUCCCAGCCCAGGUUUCAGAGGCCUAGGACCCUGCUCCCCACCCCCGAGACUAGAGGCACAGCUUAGUCGUCAGUCCCUAAUGCUGGUCCCCAAGGCAGGUAAAAAAUGUCAGCUCCGUAUGUGGCCAGCAUAGCCUGAGCCCCGUGACUGUCAAGUACAUGGAGGGCUUGGGUGUAAGAAGCUACCUGUGGGCUGGGCGCGGUGGCUCAUGCCUGUAAUCCC
rnacentral:sRNA from 1 species